GCAGGUUUAAGCGAAGAAUCGCUGUGUAAACUAUCUCGAUCCGCCCGUAGGAGACAAUCGUCCUACGGAAUCGAUAAAAGCCCACGGCCGGUCGACCGUGGGCUUCCUGGAAGGCA
rnacentral:sRNA from 1 species